GAUGAACGCUGGCGGCGUGCUUAACACAUGCAAGUCGAACGGAAAGGCCCAAGCUUGCUUGGGUACUCGAGUGGCGAACGGGUGAGUAACACGUGGGUGAUCUGCCCUGCACUUCGGGAUAAGCCUGGGAAACUGGGUCUAAUACUGGAUAGGACCACUUCUUGGAUGGUGUGGUGGAAAGUUUUUUCGGUGUGGGAUGAGCUCGCGGCCUAUCAGCUUGUUGGUGGGGUAAUGGCCUACCAAGGCGUCGACGGGUAGCCGGCCUGAGAGGGUGUACGGCCACAUUGGGACUGAGAUACGGCCCAGACUCCUACGGGAGGCAGCAGUGGGGAAUAUUGCACAAUGGGCGCAAGCCUGAUGCAGCGACGCCGCGUGGGGGAUGACGGCCUUCGGGUUGUAAACUCCUUUCGCUAGGGACGAAGCAUUUUUGUGACGGUACCUGGAGAAGAAGCACCGGCUAACUACGUG
rnacentral:rRNA from 1 species